GCUAGAACUAGUUUUGAAAGUUUUAGGAGUAAUGGUUAAAGAGCUAUUGAAAUUUUUAAAAUAUGAUUUGUCACUAUGUUGACGGUCCCUAACUGCUGUUGGUGGACGUAAGGAAAACUACAGGCAAAUAUCCGUGGAAAAUCCAACCUGAAACUGUCUUUACCUCUGUUAAAUUGACCUACUGUUGACCAGCAUGGUGUUGGUGGGCUUUUACAGAAGGGUUAGUGUUUGAGGUGCUGGCCACACGCUUCCUCCUGCAUUCACAUCAAUGUAGUCAAGUUCAAAUUUGGGGUACAGUAUGGAGCUGACCCAGACUCAAAGCUGGAGAGUGAUGAUUUGCUCACCCCCUACUGACCAGGAGAUGAGCCAAGACAUCCUGCCUUGCUACCUCCAAGACUGGAGGAAUAGCCUCAAUUCAUCACAGCAUGGACUCUACAAGGUGAAUGAGUGGCUAAGCACGUCUCCAACUCAAUCAAGUUUGCUGAGGACAACAGUGGUAGGCCUGACUUUAGAGACAGCACACCCCCAUCCACAUCGAAGAUGAGGCUGCAGUGGAGAGGGUCAAAAGCUUCAAGUUCCUUGGCGUGGACAUCACCGACAACCUGAAAUGGUCUCUUCAUACAGACAGCGUGGUGAAGAAGGUGCAACAGCACCUCUUCAACCUCAGGAGGCUGAAGAAAUUUGGCUUGGCCCCUAAGAUCCUCACAAACUUCUACAGAUGCACCAUUGAGAGCAUCCUGUCGGGCUGUAUCCCCGCCUGGUAAGGCAAUUACCGGGUAACUAUACCUCACUGUGAUUUGAUUGAGACCUCUAUAGUCAAUGCACGGGCGUAGACCUCCAUCCUUCUUCUUCACAAAAAAUAAACUCAAGGAGGCGGGUAAAGUGGAGGACCACUUUUCUGACAAUUUUCUUAACCAAAAUGCAACACACUUUGAAUGGUAGUGAUCAACGUCUUGACAAAGGUUAUCUGCGGGAACGCUCCCAUUGCUACAGAUAAAACGAUGUUUCACCUGAUGUAUGAAUCUGAUACAUCUGUUUGGCGUUUCC
ensembl:lncRNA